rnacentral:rRNA from 1 species
AUACGGAGGAUGCGAGCGUUAUCCGGAUUUAUUGGGUUUAAAGGGAGCGUAGAUGGGAGCUUAAGCCAGUUGUGAAAAGCGCGGGCCCAACCCGCGUCGUGCAAUUGGAACUGUGUUCCUUGAGUGGGUUCGGGGCAGGUGGAAUUCGUGGUGUAGCGGUGAAAUGCUUAGAUAUCACGAAGAACUCCGACAGCGUAGGCAUCCUGCCAGGCCCUUACUGACAUUGAAGCUCGAAGGUGCGGGUAUCAAACAGGGUUAGAUACCCUGGUAGUCCGCACGGUAAACGAUGGAUGCCCGCUGUCGGCGACAGACAGUCGGCGGCCAAGCGAAAGCGUUAAGCAUCCCACCUGGGGAGUACGCCGGCAACGGUGAAACUCAAAUGAAUUGACGGGG